AACGAACGCUGGCGGCAGGCCUAACACAUGCAAGUCGAACGGUCCUUCGGGACAGUGGCAGACGGGUGAGUAACACGUGGGAACGUGCCUUUAGGUUCGGGACAACCCAGGGAAACUUGGGCUAAUACCGGAUGUGCCCUUCGGGGGAAAGGAUUUAUCGCCUUUAGAGCGGCCCGCGUCUGAUUAGCUAGUUGGUGAGGUAAUGGCUCACCAAGGCGACGAUCAGUAGCUGGUCUGAGAGGAUGAUCAGCCACACUGGGACUGAGACACGG
rnacentral:rRNA from 1 species